UAAGGCCAGGUGGCAGCCCAGGCUGACAGGAAUCAGGCAGGGAAAUCAGUCUGUGGCAGUGAAGAUCCCCUUGUUCCCCUACCAACCCCCAACUGAAGAGGCCCUGGAGCCAGCCCCCAGAGCAUCUCUGUCCUGGGGGCUUCAGUCAAGCCAAAUCACCUCACCUGGUCCCUGCCAACCCAUCAAAAUUCAACAGGGAAUCAACACGAGGCCAUGGAAGCCGGAUCAAUGGAACAAGCAAGUAGAAAACAGAUUUCCUGGGUCUGCUGCCACCUGCAAGUCCCUUUCCAGGGAGCCACAAGUCUUUCUAACAUUCUUCUCUCUCACCUCCCAGAGCUGAGCAAGAAAGUCAAGGGGUAAAGAUAUGAAAACUGAGGCUGAUAGAAGGGGGACCAGACUGUUGUGGUAUAAAGAGCCCUGGUCUUGGGCACAGAAGAUCUGAGUUCAAAUCCUAGCUCUUCUACUUGAUGUCAACUUGGUUUGAAGUACUGGUGGGACAUCAAAGUCAGUAUGUUCUUAUCUUUGGUGGAGAUGCUGGCCUGUGGCUCAGAAGAGCCAACAUGAGAAAGAGAGGGCAGUUAGUCCCCUGGACAUCGCUAUCCCAUCUGAGCACUUCAGACCUUUUGGUGGAGAAGGACUGCAGGAAUAAAAAGGUCAGACUAACACUUGCUAACCCUCUAUUCCCUUCCCUGUUCCUCCAGUCUCCCUCCCCUGCCACUUCCUCCAUGGCCCCACUCUUUCCCAGACCCUCCAACUAAUGUGAAUCCUCAGAAUGGUGGGAGAUCCUCUGUCUACUCCAGGCGCAAGACCCAUUCCCUGUCCUUUUUCCACCUCAUUACGGGAGGAAGGAGAAUUUGGGAGCCCUGGAGUUGCCAAAUUCCACUCUCUCAUUUCCUGCCUUUUUAGUUUUUAACCAGGAGAUGGCGCGGAGCGGGGCUGAGUAAGAGGGGUUCUGGGGAAUCCUGGCAAAGCUUGCUCGAGGAUCCCCUCGUUCCCUCGCCGCGCCCGAGA